CUCUGCUUUUGGCAUUUAAUACUAGUUUCUCAUCGCUGAGUUUCAUAAAAGAUUGAAACAAUGUAAUUAUUGUAAUGUAAUACAGAAAUGCUAAUACGUAGAAAGCUCCGACUGUAAGGGCAUCAAGCAAUGGUGUUUUAUGUAAAGAACGUGCUUACACCGACCGUCUGUCAAUAGGCUUCGAGGAACUGAUUAUAGACUCUGUAAACCUCUGAUUGAACCAUUGUUAUUAGCCUACUACUUAGUCAAUUGCAUUGUUUCGUAGCAAUACGAGGUUAUCAGCAACUGGUGGAAUUGCUUGCUUGACGAACUUGAAAACCGUCGCGUCGUGUCGUUUAAAUGUUCAACUGAUGGAAAGAAAUGCAACUCCGAAUGCCCAGUUGAUAUGACUUUAAGAGGCGGAUCGGAUUCUGUUACUGGCACAUUCGGAGAUAAGACAGCUUGGAUGGACGGGUCAUCUCCAGCAGUUUCGCCGUGUUGCGAGCUCUCUUUUCCCGCCAACGAAUAUGCUGAUAUCGUGUUCCUGAUUCAUUAUACGACUCUUACAGGACGAGCUUAAUGGACAAGAGUGCUAAAUUUUGUUAACUCAAUAGUAAGGAAUCGGGGUUAGCGUAAAUGCUACGUCGAUCCAGUGCAUGGCGCGUUGGCCUAAUGCAGGGAUGUGCAACCUGCGGUGCCCAUAUUUGAGAUUGUGUUCAUGUCGCAUGUCGCAACGCAUGUCUUAAGAUAAAUAACCAAAAUUUUUGUGCUUACAACUACUAGUAAGCAUAUGUUAAAUGAAGGUGCGGCUCGCGGUUUCAUACAUUUUUUUAAUCUGGCCCUCGUGUAUCAAAGGUUGUACACCCCUGGCCUAAUGAAGUGAUUCAUAAGGCCCUUUGAAUAAUUUUCAUGAGAUUGAAAUAUGCCGGCCCUAACAGAAGGUUUUCUGAAGGAGGUGGUAGUGAAGGGCCAGCUCUAAACCACGACUGAACUUUGGUAUCUACAAGACGUUCUCAGGCCACCCAAACAUCAGCGACGAAGAGCCUAUGGAAGCCAAAAGUGCUAACUAAGCCAAAAGCUCUAGUAAAGCUAAAAACUUCAGCAAGUGUCGUCUUUGUAACACCUCACCUAACAAUGAAGAAAAAUGUAUUGAGAAUUUAGGAAAUAACUAAAUAUUCCUCUACAUCUUUUUGGAUCAGCAUUCACGAGAAUGCUAAAGUUUCUGCACCGAU